AAAGUCGGUCAGGCAAUCGCUCUUUGUCAAACAAGGAGAGGAAAGUCCGGGCUCCAUAGGGUAAAGUGCCAGGUAAUGCCUGGGAGGCGCGAGCCUACGGAAAGUGCCACAGAAAAUAUACCGCCUGUCUUGUGCUUAGCACAGCAGGUAAGGGUGAAAUGGUGCGGUAAGAGCGCACCGCACGGUUGGCAACAGUCGUGGCAGGGUAAACCCCACUCGGAGCAAGACCAAAUAGGAAUCCUACUAGCGCUGCUAGAACGUAUGACCCGUACGGGAUUCGGGUAGGUCGCUUGAGGCAUGUGGUGACACAUGUCCUAGAUGAAUGAUUGUCCAUGACAGAACCCGGCUUAUCGACCGACUUUUUUC
rfam:Legionella lansingensis strain ATCC 49751 Llan_ctg008, whole genome shotgun sequence.